rnacentral:rRNA from 1 species
UACGGGAGGCAGCAGUGGGGAAUAUUGCACAAUGGGCGAAAGCCUGAUGCAGCUAUGCCGCGUGUAUGAAGAAGGCCUUAGGGUUGUAAAGUACUUUCAUCGGGGAGGAAAAAACAAAACUAAUAAUUUUAUUUCUUGACGUUACCCGAAAAAGAAGCACCGGCUAACUCCGUGCCAGCAGCCGCGGUAAUACGGAGGGUGCUAGCGUUAAUCAGAAUUACUGGGCGUAAAGAGCACGUAGGUGGUUUUUUUAAAGUCAGAUGUGAAUCCCUGGGCUUAACCUAGGAACUGCAUUUUGAAACUGAAAUACUAGAGUAUCGUAGAGGGAGGUAGAAUUCUAGGUGUAGCGGUGAAAUGCGUAGAUAUCUGGAGGAAUACCUGUGGCGAAAGCGGCCUCCUAAACGAAUACUGACACUGAGGUGCGAAAGCGUGGGGAGCAAACAGGGAUUAGAUACCCGU